rnacentral:rRNA from 1 species
UACGGAGGGUGCGAGCGUUGUCCGGAAUCACUGGGCGUAAAGGGCGCGUAGGCGGCGCGGGGAGUCAACGGUGAAAGCUCGGCGCUCAACGCCGAGUCGGCCGUCGAUACUCCCCGUGCUCGAGCACUGUAGAGGCAGGGUGGAAUUCCGGGUGUAGGCGGUGGAAUGCGUAGAGAUCCGGAAGAACACCGGUGGCGAAGGCGGCCUGCUGGGCCAGUA